GCUCGCUAAGGGCGUACGGUGGAUGCCUCGGCGCCGGAGCCGAUGAAGGACGUGGCUAGCUGCGAUAAGCUUCGGGUAGCCGCUAGCAGGCUGUGAUCCGGAGAUUUCCGAAUGGGGAAACCCACCCGGGGUAAUGCCCGGGUAUCGCCCGAUGAGGGCGAGGGGAACCGGGUGAACUGGAACAUCUCAGUAACCCGAGGAAAAGAAAACGAAUGCGAUUCCCCCAGUAGUGGCGAGCGAAAAGGGAAUAGCCCAAACGCACAGCAGCCUGUAGGCGGUUGUCUAUGGUUCGCAGAUAACUUGCGGAUCUUAGACUACGAUCUACGGCUGCUGUGCGGGUAGCGGGAGCGGACCGGAUCGGAAGAUCGGGAAGUCAAAAAACUCGGCGUUAGUCGAAGACGUUUGGAACGACGCGCCAUAGAAGGUGAUAGCCCUGUAGGCGAAAACGUCGGGUCUUCCUGGGUCCGCCACCCAAGUAGCACGGGGCACGAGAAACCCUGUGUGAAUCUGCCCCGACCACGGGGUAAGGCUAAAUACUCCCGGCGACCGAUAGCGCAUAAGUACCGUGAGGGAAAGGUGAAAAGAACCCCGGAAGGGGAGUGAAAUAGAACCUGAAACCGUAUGCCUACAAACUGUCGUAGCACGAUGUGCGAUUCGCACCGUGUGGCGGCGUGCCUUUUGAAGCAUGAACCGGCGAGUUACUGUCUGUGGCAAGGUUAAGGGCGGUGAACGUCCGGAGCCGUAGCGAAAGCGAGUCUGAAUAGGGCGCAAGUCGCAGGCAGUAGACCCGAAACCAGGUGAUCUAUCUAUGGCCAGGAUGAAGUCUCGGCGAGUGCCGGGGCGGAGGUCCGAACCCGUUGCUGAUGCAAUAGCAUGGGAUGAGCUGUGGAUAGUGGUGAAAUGCCAAUCGAACCUGGAGAUAGCUGGUUCUCCCCGAAAUGCAUGUCGGUGCAGCGUCGGGUGUUCUGUUGCGGAGGUACAGCACUGGAUGGGCCAGGAGAUCGCCCAAAAGGUGGUCUCCGAGCCCAACCAAACUCUGAAUGCCGCAACACCAAGCCCGGCAGUGAGACUGUGGAGGAUAAGCCCCAUGGUCGAGAGGGGAACAGCCCAGACCGCCUGCUAAGGCCCCUAAGCACAGGCUAAGUGAUAUCGAACAAGGAGCUGGGGCGACGAAGACAGCGGGGAUGUUGGCUCAGGAGCAGCCAUCAUCUAAGGAAGGCGUAAUAG
rnacentral:rRNA from 1 species